AUACUUUGGUUUCUCUUCAGAUUGAAUAAUGUUUUCGCCUUUACUAAAGAUUUUCGUGAAGAGGAACAUCCAUGAGUUUUCAAUAAUUUUUGAGGCUCUGCCCCUUGCAGGGC